UUGUACUAGUGGUUAUAUCCUUAUUGGUUAGGGUAGAGAUUACUAAUACAUAUUUUAAAGGUGGCUGUUCAAUGUUCAGAUGUUGAACAAACUCAUGUGAUGCAAAAGAGUGUGUAGAUCCUGGGCCUAUUAAAACUUUAGCAAGGUACUAAAGGUAGUGAACAUACCUUGGAUUACAUCUUGAGAGGAUUGAGCAUCUCGCUCUGUAAUGUCAUAUAUUCUUCUUUAAGUUGUUGGUCUGGUAUGUUUUUUGUUGAUAUGACAUUCUUUGAUCCGACAUUGAGUACUACCACAUCUGAAGCAUCCAUU
rnacentral:lncRNA from 1 species